GAGUGACUGAAGACAUAUAAAAAAGAUUUGAGCCCAAACAAUUUGCAAGCUGAAAAUUAACACUCAAGUGUGAUUUGCACCAUGGCACAGGUUCCCACAAAAGACUUGCCAAAAAUUAUAUUGAUAUUUGAUAGUUGUCUGGUAUUGUUCAAUUGUUCCUCUAUUACAUAUAUGAAGAUGUCCUAGCCUUUUCCAUUAUGAACCCUUUGUUUAUUUGUUUUAUCUAUUGCCAGA
rnacentral:misc_RNA from 1 species